UGGGGAAUAUUGCACAAUGGGCGCAAGCCUGAUGCAGCCAUGCCGCGUGUAUGAAGAAGGCCUUCGGGUUGUAAAGUACUUUCAGCGGGGAGGAAGGGAGUAAAGUUAAUACCUUUGCUCAUUGACGUUACCCGCAGAAGAAGCACCGGCUAACUCCGUGCCAGCAGCCGCGGUAAUACGGAGGGUGCAAGCGUUAAUCGGAAUUACUGGGCGUAAAGCGCACGCAGGCGGUUUGUUAAGUCAGAUGUGAAAUCCCCGGGCUCAACCUGGGAACUGCAUCUGAUACUGGCAAGCUUGAGUAUCGUAGAGGGGGGUAGAAUUCCAGGUUUAGCGGUGAAAUGCGUAGAGAUCUGGAGGAAUACCGGUGGCGAAGGCGGCCCCCUGGACGAAGACUGACGCUCAGGUGCGAAAGCGUGGGGAGCAAACAGG
rnacentral:rRNA from 1 species